GGCCCAUUAGCUCAGUUGGUUAGAGCGUGGUGCUAAUAACGCCAAGGUCGCAGGUUCGAGACCUGCAUGGGCCU
rnacentral:tRNA from 1 species